rnacentral:tRNA from 1 species
GCCUCCAUAGUUCAAUGGUAGAACAGAGGACUCUUAAUCCUUUAAUGAGGGUUCGAUUCCUUCUGGAGGCACCA